UCCCCCACCGGUUCGUGCGCGCAGUCAGCUCUGUUCACGCUACCUGUAUUCAAGAUGGCAGAAGACGACCACGAUUUAGAGCGGACGACUUGCAAGACGUGCUUGCAAAGAGUGGUUGCAAAAGGAGACAAUACUUCAAACCUGAUUUCGCAUCUACAAGAGCACCACCCCACAAACCAAAUUCAAGGAAAUAAAAAUGACAAGUGAUGAAGACAAAGGGGGUGAUGACAACGUAGCUUCAUUUGGACCGGCAGCGCCACACGUGCCAUUCCACCAGGAUUCCUCAUUAUGGCUCGCAGGCUUCCUCCUCAACUCUCAGGCACAUGUGUUGUGAAUUAGCCUGCUGGCAGCCAGCGUAAUCUGGAGUCUUCCUCCAAUGGACGUGGCCCAGGCAGACUUUUACUCAUCCCCCGCUGACAGAUCUUAGUGGAAAGUCUGUGUCCAGUUAUGCUGUAAAAACACUCAAAGGCCAAACCUGACCAGAGGUGAUCAGAGGGAGAAACAGACAAACACACACUGGCUGACUGGACUUUCCCACUCGCUAGUCGCUUGGAGGCAGCACUGUUCCUCUAACAAGCAGCUUCUCAGUGACCGUCAUCAUAAACUUGGCCUUAGUGGCCUGAAGAGUGUGGCUCACAGCCAGAGGAUCUCGCAGUCUGGUGAGUGGUGGAAGUCCGUCUGCUGACUCAUUGCAGAGGGACACUGCAGAGAACUCUCAGCCUGAACUCUGAGACAAACCAACCAAGGGGUCUCUCUAUAUCCAAGUUAGAGUCCAAAGAGAGCAGCUGCGCAAAUAAAUAAUAAACUCCUUCUUACAGAGGUCGAAGAUGUCUGGACAGUGUAGUGCAUCCAAGGACCUGACUUUUGUGUUUCCCAGCACAGCAGGCCCUUUCCCUCCUCUCACUGACAUUCACAGACACCUCUGGGAGCUGAGUCACGGAGACUCUUCCUCCUGUGGGGAUUCGCAGGUCACCAUGACGGCUGCUUUGCCAGCUGUUGCAGCCUGGAGGGGAAACUGGAGAGGAUUUUCUCAAAGUUUUGCUGUAAGGAAAGAGUGACACAGCACAAGGCAACCCUCAGUAAGCGUUUUUCCCCUCAGCCCUCUGGGGAGUGAGGCACUGACUGUCUAAGCCCACACAGACAGGCCCCCACGCUAUCACCCACACAAAUGUUUGAAUGAACUCACUGUUACAAUGGUCAACUCCAUUCCAGCUAUUCUGAAAUUUAACUGGCAGAGCACCUCAUAUUUUAGGGUUUACAAUAGGUCAUCUAUCACUUCUUGAAAAAAUUCCAUGAUUAAUUUUGAUCAGUGGUACCUUCAGGGUCGGACCUUCCAAGCAA